GUGGGUAACCUGCCUGUAAGACUGGGAUAACUCCGGGAAACCGGGGCUAAUACCGGAUGCUUGUUUGAACCGCAUGGUUCAAACAUAAAAGGUGGCUUCGGCUACCACUUACAGAUGGACCCGCGGCGCAUUAGCUAGUUGGUGAGGUAACGGCUCACCAAGGCAACGAUGCGUAGCCGACCUGAGAGGGUGAUCGGCCACACUGGGACUGAGACACGGCCCAGACUCCUACGGGAGGCAGCAGUAGGGAAUCUUCCGCAAUGGACGAAAGUCUGACGGAGCAACGCCGCGUGAGUGAUGAAGGUUUUCGGAUCGUAAAGCUCUGUUGUUAGGGAAGAACAAGUACCGUUCGAAUAGGGCGGUACCUUGACGGUACCUAACCAGAAAGCCACGGCUAACUACGUGCCAGCAGCCGCGGUAAUACGUAGGUGGCAAGCGUUGUCCGGAAUUAUUGGGCGUAAAGGGCUCGCAGGCGGUUCCUUAAGUCUGAUGUGAAAGCCCCCGGCUCAACCGGGGAGGGUCAUUGGAAACUGGGGAACUUGAGUGCAGAAGAGGAGAGUGGAAUUCCACGUGUAGC
rnacentral:rRNA from 1 species